rnacentral:rRNA from 1 species
GCCAUGCAUGUGUAAGUACAGACUAUGAUACGGUGAAACCGCGAAUGGCUCAUUAAAUCAGUUAUUGUUUAUUUGGACUUAGAAUGGUUACUUGGAUAACCGUGGCAAUUCUAGGGCUAAUACAUGCACAAAUUCCGACUCUCUCUUCGGAGGAGAAGGGAUGCCUUUAUUAGAUCAAGACCAGCUGUCUUCGGACAAACUUUUGGUGACUCUGGAUAACCUCGCCGAUCGCCAUCAAAUGGCGACGUUCCAUUCAAAUUUCUGCCUCAUCAACUGUCGAUGGUAAGGUACCGGCUUACCAUGGUGUCUACGGGUAACGGGGAAUUAGGGUUCGAUUCCGGAGAGGGAGCCUGAGAAACGGCUACCACAUCCAAGGAAGGCAGCAGGCGCGCAAAUUACCCACUCCCGGCACGGGGAGGUAGUGACGAAAAAUAACAAUGCAGUGUUCUUCUCGAAUACUGUAAUUGGAAUGAGUGUUGCUUAAACCAUAGCACGAGGAUCUAUUGGAGGGCAAGUCUGGUGCCAGCAGCCGCGGUAAUUCCAGCUCCAAUAGCGUAUAUUAAAGUUGUUGCAGUUAAAAAGCUCGUAGUUGGAUCUCGGCCAUGGUCGUGUCUUUGCUGCUCCGCAGUACUUGCACGCGCACCGGGCUUUACUUUCCUAGGUGUGGUUGCUUGCACUUCAUUGUUGCGGGUAAUCCGUCUUGGACUUAUUACUUUGAAGAAAUUAGAGUGCUCAAAGCAGGCUGAACGCUUGAAUAAUCGUGCAUGGAAUAAUAGAAUACGAUCGCGAAGUAGUUCUGUUGGUCUUUCCACUACGUGAUAAUGAUUAAGAGGGACGGACGGUGGCAUUCGUACUGCUUCGUUAGAGGUGAAAUUCUUUGAUCGAAGCAUGACGCACUAAAGCGAAGGCAUUUGCCAAGAACGUUUUCAUUAAUCAAGAACGAAAGUUAGAGGCUCGAAGACGAUCAGAUACCGUCGUAGUUCUGACCAUAAACUAUGCCAACUAGCGAUCAGGAAAUGUUAAAACAGUGACUUUCCUGGCAGCUUGCGGGAAACCUAAGUCUUUGGGUUCCGGGGGAAGUAUGGUUGCAAAGCUGAAACUUAAAGGAAUUGACGGAAGGGCACCACCAGGAGUGGAGCCUGCGGCUUAAUUUGACUCAACACGGGGAAACUCACCCGGCCCGGACACCGUAAGGAUUGACAGAUUGAAGGCUCUUUCUUGAUUCGGUGGGUGGUGGUGCAUGGCCGUUCUUAGUUGGUGGAGCGAUUUGUCUGGUUAAUUCCGAUAACGAACGAGACUCUAGCUUGCUAAAUAGCAAAGUGACGCUCCUUGCGUCGACUUCUGCUUCUUAGAGGGACCGGCGGCGUAUAGCCGCACGAGAUUGAGCAAUAACAGGUCUGUGAUGCCCUUAGAUGUUCGGGGCCGCACGCGCGCUACACUGAGGGGGUCAGCAAGCACUUUUCCCGGUCAGAAAUGGCCGGGUAACCUUCUGAAACCCUCUCGUGAUAGGGAUAGGGGAUUGUAAUUAUUUCCCUUGAACGAGGAAUUCCUAGUAAGCGCAAGUCAUCAGCUUGCGUUGAUUACGUCCCUGCCCUUUGUACACACCGCCCGUCGCUACUACCGAUCGAACGAUUUAGUGAGGCCGGCGGACCGGUUACCACCAGAUGGUUUACGCUGUUUGGCGGCGACUAGAAAUCCGGUCAAACUUGAUCGUUUAGAGGAAGUAAAAGUCGUAACAAGGUUU